UGGUAAAUGAGUACGAGAAAAAGUUA
rnacentral:piRNA from 1 species